rnacentral:tRNA from 1 species
AACAACGUAAUAUAGCUUAGCCAAAGCAUCCCGCUUACACCGAGAAUACACCCGUGAAACUCGAGUUGUUACGAG